GCGAACGUGGCACUAAUAUUGGGCCUAGACGCGCUGGCUAGGUAUAUGAGCGUUCCAGUAUCUUGCGAUGUGAGAGUUCAAGUCUCUCCGUCCGCACCA
rnacentral:tRNA from 1 species